rnacentral:rRNA from 1 species
AUCUGACUGCUUUAUAGUUAGUAAGACCUGCUCAAUGAACUUUAAAUAGCCGCGAUUUACGUGCUAAGGUAGCAUAAUCAAUUGCCUUUUAAUUAGAGGCUGGAAUGAAAGGUUCUACACAUAAAAUACUUUAUUAAAUCUAUUUCUUAAAACUAAUCUAUAAAUAAAAAAGUUUAUAUAUUUAAGAAGGACGACAAGACCCUGUCGAGCUUAACUUCAGUUUCACUGGGGAGGUGAAGAAACUAUUUCUUUUUUUUCUUCCUUAAAAAAGAAAAUUUAGAAAGAAUUUUGAACUAGCUACCGCAGGGAUAACAGCACAAUUUAUUUUAGGAGAUCUUAUCUUAAAACUAGUUUAUGACCUCGAUGUUGAAUUAAAUUACCUUUAGGUGAAGAAGCUUAAAAGGAAAGUCUGUUCGACUUUUAAAAUUUU